rnacentral:rRNA from 1 species
GUCUUAGCUUGCUAAGACUGAUGGCGACCGGCGCACGGGUGAGUAACACGUAUCCAACCUGCCGUCUACUCUUGGACAGCCUUCUGAAAGGAAGAUUAAUACAAGAUGGCAUCAUGAGUCCGCAUGUUCACAUGAUUAAAGGUAUUCCGGUAGACGAUGGGGAUGCGUUCCAUUAGAUAGUAGGCGGGGUAACGGCCCACCUAGUCUUCGAUGGAUAGGGGUUCUGAGAGGAAGGUCCCCCACAUUGGAACUGAGACACGGUCCAAACUCCUACGGGAGGCAGCAGUGAGGAAUAUUGGUCAAUGGGCGAGAGCCUGAACCAGCCAAGUAGCGUGAAGGAUGACUGCCCUAUGGGUUGUAAACUUCUUUUAUAAAGGAAUAAAGUCGGGUAUGUAUACCCGUUUGCAUGUACUUUAUGAAUAAGGAUCGGCUAACUCCGUGCCAGCAGCCGCGGUAAUACGGAGGAUCCGAGCGUUAUCCGGAUUUAUUGGGUUUAAAGGGAGCGUAGAUGGAUGUUUAAGUCAGUUGUGAAAGUUUGCGGCUCAACCGUAAAAUUGCAGUUGAUACUGGAUAUCUUGAGUGCAGUUGAGGCAGGCGGAAUUCGUGGUGUAGCGGUGAAAU